rnacentral:sRNA from 1 species
CAAAGCCUUUAACCAGUUUUCACACCUUACUACAGAUAAGAUAACUCAUAUUGGAGAGAAAUCUUACAAGUGUGAAUAAUGUGGUAAAGUCUAUAAAAAAUUGUCACACUUGAUCGUAG